UUGUUUUGGCAGCAAAUAUACUAAAGUUGGAACAAUACAGAGAAGAGUAGCACGGCCUCUGUGCAAGGAUGACACCCAAAUUCCUGAAGCAUUCCAUAUUUAA
rnacentral:snRNA from 1 species